UAACACAUGCAGUCGAACGAUGAAAUCACUUCGGUGGUGGAUUAGUGGCGAACGGGUGAGUAACACGUGGGCAAUCUGCCCUUCACUCUGGGACAAGCCCUGGAAACGGGGUCUAAUACCGGAUACCACUCUGUCCCGCAUGGGACGGGGUUGAAAGCUCCGGCGGUGAAGGAUGAGCCCGCGGCCUAUCAGCUUGUUGGUGGGGUAAUGGCCUACCAAGGCGACGACGGGUAGCCGGCCUGAGAGGGCGACCGGCCACACUGGGACUGAGACACGGCCCAGACUCCUACGGGAGGCAGCAGUGGGGAAUAUUGCACAAUGGGCGAAAGCCUGAUGCAGCGACGCCGCGUGAGGGAUGACGGCCUUCGGGUUGUAAACCUCUUUCAGCAGGGAAGAAGCGCAAGUGACGGUACCUGCAGAAGAAGCGCCGGCUAACUACGUGCCAGCAGCCGCGGUAAUACGUAGGGCGCAAGCGUUGUCCGGAAUUAUUGGGCGUAAAGAGCUCGUAGGCGGCUUGUCACGUCGGAUGUGAAAGCCCGGGGCUUAACCCCGGGUCUGCAUUCGAUACGGGCUAGCUAGAGUGUGGUAGGGGAGAUCGGAAUUCCUGGUGUAGCGGUGAAAUGCGCAGAUAUCAGGAGGAACACCGGUGGCGAAGGCGGAUCUCUGGGCCAUUACUGACGCUGAGGAGCGAAAGCGUGGGGAGCGAACAGGAUUAGAUACCCUGGUAGUCCACGCCGUAAACGUUGGGAACUAGGUGUUGGCGACAUUCCACGUCGUCGGUGCCGCAGCUAACGCAUUA
rnacentral:rRNA from 1 species